CCUACGGGAGGCAGCAGUGAGGAAUAUUGGUCAAUGGGCGAGAGCCUGAACCAGCCAAGUCGCGUGCAGGAUGCAGGCUCUAUGGUUUGUAAACUUCUUUUAUAUGGUAAUAUAGUGAGGAAAGUGUUCCUUUUUGUAUGUACCAUAUCAUUACGCCUCGGCUAACUCUGUGCCAGCUGCCGCGGUAAUCCGGCGGAUGCGAGCGUUAUCCGGUUUUCUUGUGUUUAAAGGGUGCUAAGGUGGUUAAUUAGGUCAGCGGUGAAAGUGUGUGGCUCAACCAUAAGAUUGCCGUUGAAACUGGUAGACUUGAGAAUAUUUGGGGUAGGCGGAAUGCGUGGUGUAGCGGUGAAAUGCAUAGAUAUCACGCAGAACACCGAUUGCGAAGGCAGCUUACUAAACUAUAACUGACACUGAGGCACGAAAGCGUAGGGAUCAAACAGGAUUAGAUACCCCUGUAGUC
rnacentral:rRNA from 1 species